rnacentral:lncRNA from 1 species
CACGAGUCUAAUGGCCUGAGUUCUGAUGGUCAGAACCCACUUACAAAGUUAAAUGCGACGAGAAGCAGCUAUUUCCUGAGACAGGAGCAUUGCCAGAGCUGCCCCCCACCCCCACCCCCAGCCAGCUACCCUGGAGUACACAGCCAGGCGGAAACGAGAAGAGACCCCGCCCCAACAAGGUGGAAGGCUCUCCAGCGGUGGGGCUUUCAAGGACUCCUGAAAGCUGUCCUGACUCUGCUCUCACGCCCGUGUGCACACAAUCAAUGUAUUAGAACGAAGUUUGCACUGGACAAGCAGCUCUGAGUGAGCCUCUCUCCUGUAAUCCCAGCACCUGGGAAACUGAGCACGCUCCAGCCCGAAGGUAGGAAGCUUGUACUGGCCUACAACUAAGACACUCAGAGUAUUCUGGUAUGUGUGGUGGAGGGACGAGCCUGGGAAUAGCCCAUGGUCUCACGGUGCGGGCUGUGCCAGAUGAAGUAGCGCUGUAGGGCAAGCUGUCCCGUAUCUGCAAAACCCAG